CCUCCGCCCUCGGAGCCCCGACCCCCGAACUGGCCGGUGCGCACGUGCUCGGCGUCCCGGGCUGCGGCGGAGGCGGAGGUUUACAGAGGUGGCAGCCCUCAUGGCAGGUCCCCUGUGGCGGGCCACAGCCUUUGUGCAGAGACACAGGACGGCCCUGUUGGUGGGUUCCUGUGCAGGCCUGCUUGGGGCUCAGCUCUCGUACCACCUCUUCCCGGAUCCUGUGGUCCCGUGGCUGUACCAGUACUGGCCUCAGGGCCAGCCAGCCCCCCUGUCUCCAGAGCUGCAGAGCCUGUUCCAGGAGGUGCAGCAGGACAUCGGGGUCCCCUUGGGCCACCGCUUCGAGGCCUUCACCACCUUCACCUUCCAGCCUGUGAGCGCCGGCUUCCCGAGACUCCCUGCUGGGGCCGUGGUGGGCAUCCCCGCCAGCUUCCUGGGUGGCCCAGUGACCAACGCUGACCGGCCUGUGGUCGUCCACGGGCAGCGAGUGGAUUGGCAGAGCCCAGCGGGCGCCCGGCUGAGAGAUGCCCUGACCCUGUCCCACGACGCCCAGAAGUUCGCCUUGGCCAGGGAGGUGGUGUACCUGGAGAGCGGGUCAGCCGCCCUGCAGGCCCUGCCGGCCCCCGCCUGCCUGGUGGGCACCUGGGCGCUGGGCGUGGGGGCCAAGCACGCCCUGGGGCUCUACGGAGGCCCCAUGAACUUGCGGGCUGCUUUCAACUUGGUGGCGGCAGUGGCGGGCUUCGUGGCCUAUGCGUUGUCCACGGACUCUCUCACCCACGCCCUGGAAGCCUGGCUGGACCGCCGCACGGCCUCGCUGUCUGCAGCCUAUGCCCGGGGCGGGGUGGAGUUCUACGAGAAGGUUCUGUCGGGCAACCUGGCCCUGCGGGGCCUCCUGGGCCGGCCCGGGGAGAAGCUGUACACGCCCAGCGGGAACGUGGUUCCCAGACACUGGUUCCGCAUCAAACACCUGCCCUACACGGCCCGCCGGGACUCGGUGCUGCAGGCCUGGAGGGCGGCGCUCGGCCCCGGCAGCCCCUGAGGGCCUCCUGGCAGGGGCGGUUCCAGCUGGAGCAGGCAUCCCUUUGUUUUCGGCCAAAGCCGAGCCUCCAAGCCUGGGCGCGCUCUGUGGAAUCCGGCCCUACAAGCAUGUGGGUUCCUCGACUGCCCUCCCCCUCCCCACAUGGGCCUCCGUCUGGACCCUCUCUGCUGGCCUGCCCUGUGCUGGAUUUUUAGGUGCUCCCUCUGCAGGAACCCUCAGGGACCGAGCCCACCGCGCCCUGCACCUCUUCCUAGCCUCUGCUGCCAACGAUACGUGCUUUGAUGAAGCGUCUUGCCGUGCUGGACAGGCCCACGUGGCACGGAAGUAAGGGUGGCCUCUGAGCCACAGCUGGCGGAGCAGUGAGGCCCUCAGUCCAGCAGCCCACAGGGAGCUGAAUCCUGACAACAGCCGUGUGAGCUUGGAAGAAAAUCCCUCCCCAGUCAGGUCUCAGAUGAGACCCCAGCCUUGGCCGGCGCCUUCACUGCAGCCCGUGACACCCCGAAGCAGAGGACACAGCUAAGCUAUGCCUGGAUCCCCAACCCACAGAAGUACUGAGACGGUCUGAUGAGGAAACGAGAUUUCUCGGAGGUUACGUGCCGGCCCACGUCACACCCGCCGUGGAGCCACGGCUCUUGGGGCGACGUCAGCUGCAAAGACCAGAAUUUCUUCUGGCUCCCCUCCCGGACUCAGUGUGAUCUUGGCUGGCCUCGGCCUGCAGCGGCUUGAAGCAGGGUUUCGGUUCGCGGCCAGAGAUUGAGGUCGGGUCGUGGAGGUGAGAGCACCGAAUCCAAGCCGCUGGACCAGUGGUCAGUGACGAGGGCCUGGCCCUUCGGCUUUGCAGAAAAGAAUUGCCACAACGGCGGAAGCCACUGUGCGCCGGCCCUCUGGAAAGACAGCCAGAUAUACAGAGCAGAAAGCAGAAUAAAAGCAGUCACUUCCUCCCAGACCGUUAGGGGAAGAGAGUCACUGGGAGCGGACGAAAGAUCUGGGAGGAAACCACCAGGGAGUGAGCGCCGAUUCCCUGCGGGAGGAACUGGAGCGGAGAAAACCGGGUGCCCCUGUGAAGUGAUGGAGCCACAGACGGAUUCCCGGGAAUCCAGAGGUAACCAGCGAAGGAGUCCGCUAGCGGGAACGUGGGCCCUCGCGGUGGGGACUCCCUGGGUGCUGCCUGCAAGGACAGAUGACUGCGAGGCGGCCUGGCGGCUGCACACCACCUGUCUUGGCUUCAUGAGCAUUCCCUCUUCCCUCUACCCGCCUCGAGGACGUAAUCCCAAGGAGAGGACAGACAGAAACCCUGAAAUGAUUGAAAUCAAAUUACUACAAAUACUUGGUGAAACUGGAGUUCAAAAACAGGGCAAAAUAAAUUUACUUUUCUUGACCUGGGUCAGAGGCAAGCAAAAACACUACAGGGAAAAGGGGCAUAGAUUACACUGGGGUGUUGGGGGUAUGUGGUCAUGGAAGGCUUCCUGGAGGAGGUGAGGCUGGAUCAAAAAUUGAAGGUUCUUGGGACUUGAAGAACCUGGUGGUGCAGUGGUUAAGACUCACGCUCCCAAUGCAGGGGGCCAGGGUUC